AGGGUUCGAUUAUGGCUCAGGACGAACGCUGGCGGCGCGCCUAACACAUGCAAGUCGAACGGAGCUUGCUUGUCAGAUCCUUUCGGGGUGACGACUUGUAAGCUUAGUGGCGAACGGGUGAGUAACACGUGAGUAACCUGCCCCAGAGUGGGGGACAACAGUUGGAAACGACUGCUAAUACCGCAUAAGCCCACGGAACCGCAUGGUUCAGAGGGAAAAGGAGCAAUUCGCUUUGGGAUGGACUCGCGUCCGAUUAGCUAGAUGGUGAGGUAACGGCCCACCAUGGCGACGAUCGGUAGCCGGACUGAGAGGUUGAUCGGCCACAUUGGGACUGAGACACGGCCCAG
rnacentral:rRNA from 1 species